rnacentral:rRNA from 1 species
UACGUAGGUGACCAGCGUUGUCCGGAUUUACUGGGCGUAAAGAGCGCGCAGGCGGUCGUUCAAGUCGAGUGUGAAAGCCCCCGGCUCAACUGGGGAGGGUCAUUCGAUACUGAUCGACUGGAAGGCAGGAGAGGGAAGCGGAAUUCCCGGUGUAGUGGUGAAAUUCGUAGAUAUCGGGAGGAACACCGGUGGCGAAGGCGGCGACCUGGGUUGACAUUGACGCUGAGGCGCGAAAGCGUGGGGAGCAAACAGG